AUAACCUUGUUUCUCAAAUUAUUAAUAGUGGCUAUUGCUGGAAGCUGGAAUUUCAAACAAAUUUCACUUUCUAAGUUUUAUAGUUCUGAGUUCAAGUUUUUACAACAAGAAGGAAUUAUUUUUGUAUUUUGGGGGGAAAAAAAGAAACAAUAAAGAUUUUUUUUGAAAGUCUGUUCAUUGUUUCCCAUUCUGGAAGGCGGUAUUGUGGUGUUGAGCAUCCUGGGAUUCCUAUUCCUGAGGGCAACCACAGAAAAUUUAGUGAAGGUCAAGAAAUGGCUUGGAGUGAUGAGAGUGUGGCUAAGGGUGGCGGGACUCUUUGUGGCAGAAACGUCCAGUGGAAGUUUGUAAACUUCAGAAUAAUCUGUGCCCAGCAUCCAAUUUCACAUGAGGCAGUGAUGGAACUGUAUUUUAUUUUGAGUUCUUCGUUAUCAAGUGUUGUGCAUCUUUGUUUCUCAUUUCUUUUUCUUUUUUAGUGUUCUCCUCACUUCAUCCCUCAGUAGCAGGUCAGACGUGUUGCUGCUAGCCAAAGCUGCAUCUCGUCUUUGAGCCAGAUCAGAGCUGUCCUUCUGAUGCGGGGUCAGGUUCAAUGUGAGAUAAACAGCUUUGGAUUCUAAACCCUUGUUGACAUCUCAUCCCUGCUGUACAAUGUGGGAUGGCUAAUGCCCUCCUGCUGCUUGUGAAAUGGCCAGGAUUUAAAUGCUGGGAUCAAGAGUCAAAGAACCAGGGGAUGACCCUGGCAUUUUCAUGCUGGAUGCUUGCCUAGGAGAGGGCAACCCCAUAGGCGUGCUGGGAGUGCUGGAGCAGACGGCAGGCCUUUCUGGGAGCAGCCCACACUGGCCAGCAUUGCCACCCCUUUGCUAGAGGGAGUGUCUAUCCUGACCCUGGGAGGAGAGGCCAUCCCUUACUUUGCUGUCUUGGGCAGAAUUGUUUUCACUAAAGGCCCUGGAACACUUAAACAUGAUUUUAAAGAUCAAUUAUAUAUGUAUAUUUAAUUGGGAUGGGGUCUUGCUCUGUUGCCUGAGCUGGAAUGCAGUGUUGUGAUCAUAGCUCACUGCAGCCUCAAACUCUUGGGCUCAGGUGAUCCUCCCCUCUCAGCCUCCCAAGUAGCUGAGACUAUAGGCAUGAACCACCAUGCCUGGCUAUUUUUUUUUUUUUAAGUCUAUAGAGACGAGGGUCUCACUUUGUUGCCAGGCUGGUCUCACACUCCUGGACUCGAACAAUCCUCCCACCUUGGCCUCCCAAAAUUGGGAUUACAGGCAUGAGCCAUGGUGCCUACCCUCAAUUAUGAGUUCAAAAAUCAUAAAACUAAAAAAAAAACCCAUUAGAGAUGAACAGAAUGUUUGUUUUUUAAAGCCUUUGUCCCUUUGAGCCCCAGGGACUCCAAGACGUGUACCCUCCUCCACGUCUUCCUGACCAGCUUUGAUCACACCAGCCUUCUCUUUUAGGCUUUAUUUCAUAUGAAGAAAGAGUUCAUUUCUAAAAAGCAGUAAGUGUGAAAACCACGGAAUCCAAUCAACUUUAUCGUGCUGUUUCACCCUUAGUGUUCAAGGUCCCUUUAGUGCUGAUGAGUGAAAACAUAGUCCAAUAGUUGGACUAUGACUAUAUUGAGCAGUUUCCUUUGUAUUUGAGGUGGGUUUUAGCACAACAAGCUGGUGGUCAUGCUGAACCAGAUAUUCCUCAAUAAUCUGGAAAUGUAGCCAAGACUCCAAAUUAUGGUGACAAUAAUCAGACACUUCCGUAGGGCACACUGGGUGCUCGCACUUGCCUGAGCCCUUCCCAUGUGGUUGCUAUUUAAUCCUCUCAACAGCCAGGAGGUGGAUCCUGCUGCCAGCCCCAUCUCAUGGUGCCUCUGGUGCUGAGGUUGGAGAGCUGAAUAUUGGGGCUGCCCCACUGGGUCUCAUAAGAGAGCUGCUUUUCCAUCUUCAGUUCUCUGCCUCCCAAUUAAACUCCCAGCCCCAGUAGGAAGGACUGAGGCGGGAGAGAGAAGCUCACAUUUUGGAGAAUGCAAUUUUCUUGGAUAGAAGCUGGUCCUUCCCUCCCUUUUCCCCUUUGGGAGAUAUAUGAUGGGGCUUCCUUUUUCCAAAGUUUCUUGUGAAGAUGGAGCAUCCUGGCAUCCAGCUUUCCAGUUGGACACGUGCAGCAUCAGGACCUGCUGCCUUCCCUGGGCUCCUGGCACAGGAGAAAGUGAGGUCGGGCAGCCCUAGCCCAAAGACAGGCUCCAUGUGAGCCCCAGGCUCUGGACUUGUGGAGCCAGGCAGGCGAUGUAAAGGCCACAGUCGGCUGGGACUGCUGUUGCUUGGGGAACCAGAAGGCUCCUACAUGUGAAGAUUGUCAUGAGAUGCACCCCUAGAGGGGAAUCCAGAUUUCUCCAGGGUCAUCUAGAAAAGCCAUUUGGGAGGAGGCUCUUGCUACUGUCACCCAGCCGAAGACCAUGGAGGACUUGUGGGGUACGUGCAUGAUUAGGGUCCAGCUGGACGAUCGUGGCCACCACUAUCCAGUGGUGCAGGAAAGAGGCCAGGAGAACCAGCCUAGCCAAUGUGGCGAAACCCCGUGUCUACUAAAAAUACAAAAAUAAGCUGGGUGUGGUCGUGCACACCUGGAAUCCCAGCUACUGGGGAGGCUGAGUAGGAGAAUCACUUGAACCCAGAAGGUGGAAGCUGCAGUGAGCUGAGAUCAUGCCACUUCACUCCAGCCUGAGAGACAGAGUGAAACUCCAUCUCAAAAAAAAAAUGAGGCCAGGAGAAGGAAGCUGUGGACAGGCCACUGCUACUCCUUUACUCCAAGCUACCACCACUGCAUAGCUCUUGCCUGGUGUGGAGGAGGGGACGAAAAGAAUGUCGAACCAGCUAUGAGACUGAAGUUUUGAAAUGAACUGAGCUGAAUGUUAGAAAUCUUAAUGAGACUGGAUAAUUGCAAGUGAUGGAAAAAUUCGAGGGAUGACUUUAAGGUCAAGAUGACUUUAAGGAAGUCCCCACUUAGGGGGAAAGACAGGGAAGGGGUUGACAUUGCCCAGAUGGGGUAGUUAUAUUAAAAAUGAAGGCAUUCUAUGUUGGCACCCUGUGAACUGAGACUCUUCCUUUCUUUCUUUCUUUUUUUUUUGAGACGGAGCUUCGCUCUUGUUACCCAGGCUGGAGUGCAAUGGUGCGAUCUCGGCUCACCGCAACCUCCGCCUCCUGGGUUCAGGCAAUUCUCCUGCUUCAGCCUCCUGAGUAGCUGGGAUUACAGGCACGCACCACCAUGCCCAGAUAAUUUUUUGUAUUUUAGUAGAGACGAGGUUUCACCAUGUUGACCAGGAUGGUCUCGAUCUCUUGACCUCGUGAUCCACCCGCCUCGGCCUCCCAAAGUGCUGGGAUUACAGGCAUGAGCCACCGCGCCUGGCCGAGACUCUUUCAUAAGCCAGCCUCCUUUAUCUAUCAGUCUGAUCCAGAAGAAUUAUUGAUGUAUUCAUGCAUUUAUCCCACAAUGCUUAGUGAGUAUAACCUGCAUACAAUGCUAGGUACUAGGAAAACAGGACUUCAGAGUUUUACAGAUGUGCUCUCUUCCUACCUACUAGGUUCUGAAUUCCUAGACAGGGAUUGUAUCUUUUGUUUUGCCCUGUCCCUCACCGCUGUUUAUUGUUGUUACUCAUGUAAUAUCUAUCGUAAGGUAAUGUGUUGUUGAUCGACAGUGGGAAUUAACCCUUCCUCCUCCACAAGAGAGUGCUGGCAUUGUUGCAGAUUCGGGAAGCUUAUUAAUAUUAGUAAUGGUAAUCUCUUAUUUGUAUCGGUAAUAGUAAGUAUUAUUGAUAUACUUGAUAGGACCCACCUAUGGAAGUAACAUUUUAUUUUCUUUUUUCCCCAGUUGAAUUAUCAUAUAUUUUAAUUAAGAUCACAUUUUUUAUUAUUCUGUGCCAUUCUUCAGUAGGAAAUGAUGCAUCCAACCGAACAAGGUGCUCAGGUAGAAUUAGUUCAUUGUGAGUUCAUUGAGUAGCUUGCAGGCAAGUCGAAUGCCGGCUCCGGCCCUCAUUUUUGUCAUCCCUAAGAUAUUGUGUAUGUUUGUAUGUGUGGUUGUGUAUUCCAGUAGCAAUAAUAGUGGUGGUAUUAGUAGUAAUCACUGUGAACAGAGAUGAGUCUUUUAAAAUGAAAAGCUACUGCAAUUUAGUAGCUACCAUCAUAGUCUGAGCAUGACAUGAGGAGACUCGCUAGAAUAUUUCAGUCUUUAUUGAUUGAGGCCAAUAAAAACUGAGCUAGAGGCCAGGCAUGGUGGCUCAUGGCUGUAGUCCCAGCAUUUUGGGAAGCCAAGGCAGGUGGAUCACUUGAGGUCAGAAGUUUGAGACCAGCCUGGCCAAACUGGUGAAACCCUGUCUCUACUAAAAAUAUAGAAAUUAUCUGGGCAUGGUGGUGGGCACCUGUAAUCUCAGCUCCUCAGAAGGCUGAGGCAGGAGAAUCACUUGAAUCUGGGAAGCAGAGAUUGCAGUGAGCUGAGCUCACACCACUGAACUCCAGCCUGGGUGACAGAGCAAGACUCCAUGCCCCUGCCCCCCAAAAACUGAUUUAUAGACCCCAAUAAUUACCUUUCAGUUAUGUCAUGAGUGUGUACUUCACCACCUGGAUGCCACUGUAUAAUUCUAUUUGUCAUAAACUGUUUCUGGUCUUCUCUGUAAUUCCCCAGCACAUCUAUUACACCCUCUGUAGAGUAUCCUAAAGUGGUUGCCGUCAUCCCGGGUCAUCCCUCACUUCGGCUUCCAUAUUUUUAAGUGUCUUUUCCUUCCUCUUUGAGUGCCUCAGUUUCCCCCAGGAUACCUCUUGUGAUACUUAUUUCAUUCUGUCCACUCUCUCAGUGCUUGCUGUAUUCUCUCUGCUGUUGAAGGCUUUUGGUGUGAGAAUCACAGAAGGGAAGUAGUUGACAUACAGGCUCGACUAACAGGGCAGAUGCAGAGAAGUGGAUUUAUAAGGAAAAUAUGUGGAAGGAGCCCACGCCAAAGAGCCAACACUAGGAUUCCAGGCCUGGCUUGGCCACAGAUCUGCUGUGUGGUCCUAACAAGUCCCCUGCAUGGAGUAACGUGCACUAGGUUUAGCUAGUAUUAUAACUGUUGCUGGUUAUUAGAUGAUCUUUCUGGGCCUCAGUUUCCUCACUGUUAAGUAAGGAACAUGGCUUGGAUGAUAUCCUGAGUCCUCUCCACUCUCAUUUUAGGUGUAAUAAGACUAUAACCCUUACUAAGGUAAAUAACUAGGGAGCAAAGAUGAGGGCUUAAAUCUCUUGCAUCCCUUGCAAUACUUUGCACACUAAAGAAGCAGAGUAGCCAUUUAAGAAUUCAGAACUGAAGAUGAAGCUGAACAUCUCCUUCCCAGCCACUGGCUGCCAGAAACUCAUUGAAGUGGAUGAUGAACGCAAACUUUGUACUUUUUAUGAGAAGCGUAUGGCAACAGAAGUUGCCGCUGACGCUCUGGGUGAAGAAUGGAAGGGUUAUAUGGUCCGAAUCAGUGGUAGGAAUGACAAACAAGGUUUCCCCAUGAAGCAGGUGUCCUGACCCAUGGCCGUGUCCGCCUGCUACUGAGUAAGGGGCAUUCCUGUUACCGACCAAGGAGAACUGGAGAAAGAAAGAGAAAAUCAGUUCGUGGUUGCAUUGUGGAUGCUAAUCUGAGUGUUCUCAACUUGGUCAUUGUAAAAAAAGGAGAGAAGGAUAUUCCUGGACUAACUGAUACCACCGUGCCUCGUCGCCUGGGGCCCAAAAGAGCUAGCAGAAUCUGCAAACUUUUCAAUCUCUCUAAAGAAGAUGACGUCCGCCAGUAUGUUGUAAGAAAGCCCUUAAACAAAGAAGGUAAGAAACCUAGGACCAAAGCACCCAAGAUUCAGCGUCUUGUUACUCCACGUGUCCUGCAGCACAAACAGCAGCGUAUUGCUCUGAAGAAGCAGCGUACUAAGAAAAACAAGGAAGAGGCCGCAGAAUAUGCUAAACUUUUGGCCAAGAGAAUGAAGGAGGCUAAAGAGAAGCGCCAGGAACAAAUUGCGAAGAGACGCAGACUUUCGUCUCUGUGAGCUUCUACUUCUAAGUCUGAAUCCAGUCAGAAAUAAGAUUUUUUGAGUAACAAAUAAAUAAGAUCAGACUCAAAAAAAAAAAAAAGAAUUCAGGACUGCAACUGGGCGUUUAUGGCAUUGCUGAUGAAUUUUUAUUAUUUAACUAUAUGCAUUACUGGCAAAUUAAAGAAUAAAUGGACAAAUUCUACUCAGCAUUUGUAUAGUGUUUUGAAAGAGACCCACAUUCAUGAAUUUAAUGUCCAUCUCACCACCAUUCCCUAAAGUGGGUGGAGCAGAUCUGGCCUCAAUUUAUGGAUCAAUAAAUGGAAGCUUAGGGAGGUGGUUAUUUUUUCAGAUUUCACAGCUAGUAAGAGGCAAGUCUAGAACCACAAUCCCAGGCUCCUCAUUCCUAUGCCAGUGCAUUCUCCAGCCUCCUAAGGGCUGCCUUUUUAGGGUAGUUGGAACAGUAAGAAAUACUUUGUUGUGAAGACUGAUGACAUUCAGACGUAUUAAUCCCUAGAAGAUACAUGCCCCAAAGGAUCAUCACCCAGGAAUGUUACUAAAGUGAAGCUUACCCAUCUACUGUGAGGACCUGGCCAAGCAGAUCUGUGCCUGGAGUUAGAGUCAUGGCAGUGCUCCUAAUUCUGAAGAUGGGAUAUGGGAAGAGGACUUUGGGGUGUGCUGAGCUGACUGAGUAGAAACUUGAGCCUUGGCAUAAGUUUGGGAUUAGGGAAUUAUGAGAGACCCUCUUAAGAAAGAAGAAAGUGUUCCCAGACUCAAGAGCUCAUGAACCUGGGUCUUGCCCAUUCUGGGUAGGUAGCAAUAUAACCGUAUCUGCAGUGCUUGGAGGGCAAUGAAAAGGUUGUAUAAAGGAGUAUUCUUUGGCAGAUGUCUCUAGUUCCCUUGCUGCAACAAAUAAAGCUGGCCUCGCACUGGCCUGUCUGCUGCCGUGCUCUGCAGGGGUUGUAGUCACACUGAGCUGACCGUGUGGCCAUCUGGGCUCCUAGGAACUCCUAGAGGGGCCAGACAAUGAGGACCCAGGAGCUUCCAACCCAAGGUACUCCUAGAAGAUGCCGUUACUUGAAAGCAGCAUCUUCUGCCUCCAGGACUUGCUGAGAGACGUGCGAUGAGAGCAGCUGCUGUCAGCUGUCGGGAGGAGCUGCUGCCCCAAGAGAGCAGGAACGGCCUCUGGGAGCUGUGGGUGGCUCUUGCCCAAUGGGAGUCACCAGCAGGAGCAGCAGAUAGAGCGCCAGGUGAGGCAGUCCUUCCCGGUGGUACUUAGCCCCCAUAGAAUUCUUGAAAAGGGGCAACGUGGUUCAUCUUCCAAGAAGAAUCCUUCUCUAUUAGUUGACCUGGUUGGAGACCCAGCAGCUCAGGGUGGAGGCUUCAGCUGGCUUGAAUUGUCACCUGGUCUUCAAGGCACUUGUUGGAGGAGUGGCCCAGGGAAAAAGAACUGCCUUCCUAAAUGAUGUUGAUGGAAAUAAUAUCAGUAACCCAAUAGGUUUUCAAAGCAUAGUUUGUUGGCUGGGAGUGACGGUUCGAGCCUAUAAUCCCAGCACUUUGGGCUCAAGAAUCGCUUGAGGUCAGGAGUUUGAGACCAGUCUGGCCAGCAUGGUGAAACCCCAUCUCUACUAAAAAUAUAAAAAUUAGCCAGGAAUGGUGGUGGAUUCCUGUAAUCACAGCUACUUGGGAGGCUGAGGCAGGAGAAUCGCUUGAACCAGGGAGGCAGAGGCUAUAGUAAGCCAAGAUCACACCACUGAACUCCAGCCUGGGCGACACAGUGAGACUCUGUCUAAAAACAACAAGAACAAAAAGCUAAAAAAAAAAAAAAAACCCUUAAUUUGUUAAUAUUUGUAUUUCCUCUGCUCCAUCACUCUUUACUGAUUAACUCCCAAGUGGAAGUGAAUGUUUCCAUCACCUGUCGUCACACUGUCUGCAGCACUUCUGUGUCAGCCAUGCAUCCACUCCUUCAUCAAACAUUGGUAGAUGGGUCAGGCCAUCAAAUGUCAGUUUUCCUUUGCUGCAUUGUACUUAUUUAUGUACAUAUCUUAGCCCUCCACUGGACUGAAGGCUUUUUUGUUAAGUCAUGAUAGGUUAGGUUUAUGCUGUAGCCACAAAACCCCAGAGGCUUAACAUAACAACAAUUUUCUUUCUCACUCAUUCACAAAUCCUACAGGAUUUGGUUGGGUGGAUAUUGAGGGGCUGCUUCAUAUAAUUCCUCAGGGACUCAGGAUGGCUGGGGUUCUACUGUCUUAUAGCUGAGCUAACUGGAAUGUGUGGCUUUGAUCACUGAGACAGGGAAGAGAGCACUGAAGGGUCUCACCCCAGCAAUUACAUUACAAUUACAAUUAUAGUCCUGAAGGGUCUCAUGCCAGCCUGGAGAUGGCAUCACAUCUACUCACAGCCCAUCAGCCAGAACUAAUCACAUGGUCCCCACUUAACUCCAAGGGAGGCAGAAAGUGUAAUCUUCCUGUGUGCCCAGAAGAAAAGAACGGGAUGAGGGUGAGCACUAGAAGUCUCUCCACAAGCUUUUUAUCAUGUUCUUGAUGAAAAGUGAGCUAUGUAUUCCCAGUUGCUCAGUCUGGAAAAGACUAAUAAAUAACGUAGGCAUCCUCUGUGUGAAGGUCUUGGUCUUUUCCUUUUCCUAGUAACAGGGAGACAGAAUGGUAGGUGCAUGAUUAGGGGCAGAAGCAGUCCCCUAAGGGGGCCCCAGACCCUCCUUCCUGGGCAAGGCUUAGCCUCAUGUCCUGCCAUGGAACAAGUCUGACAACUGCAUACCACCCUCACCCCAGAGCCCCAGCGCACCUGGCUUCUCCUGCUCUGUGGGCCUAGGUGGAGGCCCGUUGACCAGGUCUCAGUUAUGUGACAUCUGGCAUACUUAAAAAUGUACUGUCUACCUCCAUUCAUGCAGUUGCCAUCUGGGUGAUCUAAUAUUGCAAGUUAUUAUGUCCUAACUUGGAGUGAGAGUACAAGAAGUGGUGAUCAGAGUUCAGAAGGCAGUGGGUAUUUGAGGGUGCACAUUCAUGGGGAAUAAAUGACUGGAGUCAGGAGUAAAAGAAUUAAAACAUGGAAAAUUUGAAUUUACAACUGCGAUGGUUAUCCUUCUUGUAACUGUGUUUUUAAAUAUUGGUUGAUUGUUUUUCAUCGUUUGGAUUUUGCAUAAAGAAAUGUUUGAUGUCACAUUUGCCUUGUCUGUGGUUUCUGUGAUAGGCCCCUGCACUAGUGUGGCAGUCCUCAACCGCAGGCUUCUGAGGACAGAGCCUGUCCUGCCUCUGUGCUGCCUCCUUCACUCUCUCUAGGCAGCUCCUUCUGCAAUGCAAAAUAAGGUGUUUAAUAAAUGAUGAGGUUGGUGAAUGUGGUCUACAGGGACAGCCUUCAUAUUUAAUUCACUACACCCUCAUUCUUAUCUAUUCUUUUUUUUUUUUUUUUUUUUGAGAUGGAGUUUCGCUCUUGUUACCCAGGCUGGAGUGCAAUGGCGUGUUCUCAGCUCACCACAACCUCCGCCUCCUGGGUUCAGGCAAUUCUCCUGCCUCAGCCUCCCGAGUAGCUGGGAUUACAGGCACGCGCCACCAUGCCCAGCUAAUUUUUUGUAUUUUUAGUAGAGAUGGUGUUUCACCAUGUCGACCAGGAUGGUGUCGAUCUCUCGUGAUCCACCCGCCUCGGCCUCCCAAAGUGCUGGGAUUACAGGCGUGAGCCACCACACCCGGCCUUCUUUCCUAUUCUUUAGAAGUACUGUUGGGACCUUCCAAUCUCAUAUUCUACUGUCCUCCUUCUCCUCCAUUUCUCUCUCUCUCUCUCCCCAGAAAAAUUCUAUCUGUGAAAAUCCCAUUUUGUUUGAAGGAUGAUAAUCUGCAGGGAAACUUAUGGAAUGUGAUGGGUUUACUGGAGUUCCGGAGUGACAGACCCCCAAGAACCCCCUUCGCUUAUGCAGAGCUUCCUGUAGAGAUGGCAUCAAUGUCCUCAGCGAUCUGGAAUAAACUGAGUGUGAAGUGGAGAGACUUUGAAGUCUCUCCCGCCUGACUUCAAUCCCACCCCUGCUAUUGACUGGUUGUGCAAGGUUGGGUCUCACGUUAGAUCUUGUUCCCUUCUGAUCUAUAGUGGAUCAUGGUGUCUGUUACUCCAUCUACCUGCCACACUUUCCCAUCUCUCUUCCCGUGGUUUUGAUUCCUUGAGGGGACCUCCUCAUGCAUCCCACGUGGUCAUACUGUGGCUGGCAGUCAUAGAAUUGUGACUGGGUUUUGGGGUGCAGGGGAGGCAUAGCUCCCCUGAGAGAAUGUCUUUUUGGGUCCUUGGUCUCUCUCUCACCCAAGAAUGGGAAAGGGGACCAUGCCAGAUGCAGUGCACUGGUAAAGUAAAUAAAGGACCCAAAAUUUUGCAGAAAGUAAUUUAUUUAGGUAGAGAGAAAGAGAGUAACAGCUGGCUUUCACACUGAGUGAGAAGGAAAAGCCGUUCUCACACUGAGUGAGAAGGAUUCCCAGAGGGGGAAAACCAAGGAAGGAAAGCUUGUCUUACAUUGAGUGAGAGAAUCCAGAAAGAUGGAAUCCAGGAGAGGAAAGAUACCUUCCACACCGGGUAGAAGGGGACCCCAGAGGGGGAAAUCCAGGAGAGAGUUCGUGGAAGAGGAUUCAAACAUGGACUCCGAAGGGGUGUGGAAGAAGGGGACUUUUAACCUGGAAGGAAUUCCCACCUUCUCCAAAUUCCCUGGCCAAUGAAAGGAGUUCCUUUAAACUUCUGCUGGAGUGAUUGAGUUUUGUUUCUUUCCCAUGUGCACAAAAAUUAAAACAAAUACCUCUAAU